CCUGGCUCAGGAUGAACGCUAGCUACAGGCUUAACACAUGCAAGUCGAGGGGCAGCGGGAUUGAAGCUUGCUUCAAUUGCCGGCGACCGGCGCACGGGUGAGUAACGCGUAUCCAACCUUCCGUACACUCAGGGAUAGCCUUUCGAAAGAAAGAUUAAUACCUGAUGGUAUGAUGAGAUUGCAUGAUAGCAUCAUUAAAGAUUUAUCGGUGUACGAUGGGGAUGCGUUCCAUUAGGUAGUAGGCGGGGUAACGGCCCACCUAGCCAACGAUGGAUAGGGGUUCUGAGAGGAAGGUCCCCCACAUUGGAACUGAGACACGGUCCAAACUCCUACGGGAGGCAGCAGUGAGGAAUAUUGGUCAAUGGACGAGAGUCUGAACCAGCCAAGUAGCGUGAAGGAUGAAGGUCCUACGGAUUGUAAACUUCUUUUAUAAGGGAAUAAACCCUCCCACGUGUGGGAGCUUGUAUGUACCUUAUGAAUAAGCAUCGGCUAACUCCGUG
rnacentral:rRNA from 1 species